UGCAGAUUAUAAUGAUUAACAAGAACAUUAUUAGGUAUGUUGUAACCUGUCUUUCAAGACAGGUUGAUCCAACGGGAAAUUAGGGAGAGAGUUUGCAAAGCUUAACACAGGAUGUCAAAAGCCUUAUUAGCCUCUCUAUGCCUGGGCACAGUACGUGGGUAUUUAUAGGUACUCGAUGGGCCGCUUGUCCCUGUCAAAGACAUUUAGACCCUCGAGUACCUGGUUUAUCCCCAGAAUAUUCCCACGAGGGGAGGUUACAAACAGUCAUUACGGUAAACUUUAUUACAGACACGGCCCAAAAAUCGCACAUUCCCAUGCGGGGUCCAGCUCUGUGGGCCAAACCGCACAUGGGCCUCUCUUGGUGGUGAGGGUGGGAGGUCUUGUAGACUUCGACUGGUCCUCUGUCUUGUUUCGUGUGAGUGAAGGGGGUCGAACAGGCCUCCAUCCGGUUAGCGCCCUUGGCCUGUCCUGGCGGGUUCCGUGAAUCCAGCCUUCGCCUGCGCAAGGUGAGGACGAAGUCGUCGGGAGUGAAGGGUGGUGUGUUCGCCUUUGUCCCAACAUGGUAAACAGAAGUGAUCAAGGGCACAACUUGCCUUCAAUGAGCUCCUGCUCAUCAAUUUCCACCUGCUGAACACCUGGGUCCUCGGUGACUUGUUCGUCUACUCGAAGCAAUACAAUCAAGCAUGGUAUAGGAGAAAUUAACAUCACACAAAAUAUGAGUACAAAAUAUAUGAUAAUAAUCGACGUAUCGUAAUGAGAUCGUAGGUUCUAGAAUCACUAAAUUUGGAGUUACGGUUAUCGAGUUACGAUUUUCCGAAGUUAUUAACUGUUUAGUAUGGGAUAAAUUAAGUAGAUAAUUUUAAUCUAUGUUUCAUGUCUAAACAGAGUUACCAGAUGAUAAACAAUAUUAAAAAAGGAUUAAUACAACUGGAAUGUAUCAAAAAGGAAUUAAAAUGAAUUUUCUAUGAAUUAAACAAGUUCUGGGAUUAUUUUUACACUAGAAAUUCAUUUUCUAUAUUAAUUUAUUAAAUCCCUUCAAGUUCUGGACUGCACGCAUAAAUUUCAGAAAGCCUGGGGUCUACACUGUAAUUUUUUAGGACUCGACUGAAACGAUCUUCUACCAGGAAUGGACUGUGGGUUUAUUCAUGUAAAGUGCAGGGGUUCUUUUGCAAGACGCACAAGCCAAAGGGGUAUCGAGAGAAUUGAACCGUCCGAUCAGCCCUCGGCGGCCCAGAUUAAAUCGGGCUUGUAACGAAACGAUACGCAUCCAUGGCCACAUGAUCAAGGAUCACGGUCAGAAAUCCUUCGCACCCUGAUUCCACCCGCCGCCCGAUCACGAUCCGACCGCCGAGAUAAAUUCAACGAAGGGGUAUGCACGCUUUCUAAUCACCGCCCUUGCCCACAGAUCCGAUAGUCACGAAUCCUUCUUCCCAUCCGUGCCCAGACGCGCCGUUGCUGUUAGGCCGAGCGGCGGCGCCAUGGCCAGGUACGACGAUCUUGCACCCCAACGGCCCAAACCAAACGAGCCUAGCCUAAUGCGAUGCCCUGCGGAAGGUGAAACUAGUCAUGGGCCGCUUACCGGAGAUGGAGAGAUAGUUGAGGCGGCCCACGGUGUGGCACGAUCUACGGUGGAGCGCCCGCACCGGCGAGGAAUUGCCGAUGAUAUAGCGAAGGUCUGCCCUGUCCGAGGUCGACACCACACUUCCCACUCUCAGACGACCCUCCGACACGUACCCAAGGGACGGAACGCCGACGAGGAUGCAGAUCCGCGGUGCACUCUAGGAAAAGGGGAAACAUGCGACUGGUGCAUGGUUUUAUUAACCGACAAGGGCGGUGGUUGAGGCCGGAGCUAGAUUUGCGCGCAUGGCGCCGUGAUCUUCGGCUC
rnacentral:lncRNA from 1 species